rnacentral:rRNA from 1 species
GACGAACCGAGCGAACGUUAUUCGGAAUCACUGGGCUUAAAGGGCGCGUAGGCGGGCCCGAAAGUCAGGGGUGAAAGCCCACGGCUCAACCGUGGAAGUGCCUCUGAUACUUCGGGCCUCGAGGGAGGUAGGGGCGUGCGGAACUUCCGGUGGAGCGGUGAAAUGCGUAGAUAUCGGAAGGAACGUCGGUGGCGAAAGCGGCGCGCUGGACCUCUUCUGACGCUGAGGAGCGAAAGCGUGGAGAGCAAACAGG